rnacentral:rRNA from 1 species
ACGGCUCAGUAACACGUAGUCAACAUGCCCAGGGGACGUGGAUAACCUCGGGAAACUGAGGAUAAACCGCGAUAAGUCACUACUUCUGGAAUGGGUAAUGACUAAAAUCUACAUGGCCCCUGGAUUGGACUGCGGCCGAUCAGGCUGUUGGUGAGGUGAUGGCCCACCAAACCUGUAACCGGUAUGGGCUCUGAGAGGAGGAGCCCGGAGAUGGGCACUGAGACAAGGGCCCCGGCCCUAUGGGGCGCAGCAGGCGCGAAACCUCUGCAAUAGGCGAAAGCCUGACAGGGUUACUCUGAGUGAUUUCCGUUAAGGAGAUCUUUUGGCACCUCUAAAAAUGGUGCAGAAUAAGGGGUGGGCAAGUCUGGUGUCAGCCGCCGCGGUAAUACCAGCACCCCGAGUGGUCGGGACGUUUAUUGGGCCUAAAGCAUCCGUAGCCGGUUCUACAAGUCUUCCGUUAAAUCCACCUGCUUAACAGAUGGGCUGCGGAAGAUACUAUAGAGCUAGGAGGCGGGAGAGGCAAGCGGUACUCGAUGGGUAGGGGUAAAAUCCGUUGAUCCAUUGAAGGCCACCAGUGGCGAAGGCGGCUUGCCAGAACGCGCUCGACGGUGAGGGAUGAAAGCUGGGGGAGCAAACCGGAUUAGAUACCCGGGUAGUCCCAGCUGUAAACGAUGCAGACUCGGUGAUGAGUUGGCUUCUUGCCAACUCAGUGCCGCAGGGAAGCCGUUAAGUUUGCCGCCUGGGGAGUACGGUCGCAAGACUGAAACUUAAAGGAAUUGGCGGGGGAGCAC